UCGGGAAUUUUGCUCAAUGGGCGCAAGCCUGAAGCAGCAACGCCGCGUGGGGGAUGACGGCCUUCGGGUUGUAAACCUCUUUUCCAGGGGACGAUAAUGACGGUACCCGGGGAAUAAGUCACGGCUAACUACGUGCCAGCAGCCGCGGUAAUACGUAGGUGACGAGCGUUGUCCGGAUUUACUGGGCGUAAAGAGCGCGCAGGCGGUCGUAUAAGUCGAGUGUGAAAUCCCCCGGCUCAACUGGGGAACGUCGCUCGAUACUGUUCGACUUGAAGGCGGGAGAGGGAAGCGGAAUUCCCGGUGUAGUGGUGAAAUGCGUAGAUAUCGGGAGGAACACCAGUGGCGAAGGCGGCUUUCUGGCCCGUUCUUGACGCUGAGGCGCGAAAGCUAGGGUAGCAAACGGG
rnacentral:rRNA from 1 species